AGAGCCCCCAGGAUACGAUACUUCUCGAGUGCUGUGCCUCUGAAGGUUGCCGUAUUGAGGACCAAGUCUUCAACAUACGAGCUUUUGGGAGAUGUUCAGCUCCACACCACAUGGGUGUGUUUGCAGAAAUGAUUGCAAGAGAAACAAGUUGAAACGAGCUCACUCAUUUGUUUCUGCCCAGAGGGCUGUUUGGACCUUCCCAGGACACAGUGAUUUUCUUGAUCCUAUGAGGAAUUUGGUGCAUGCUUGCACUUGAAUAAACAAAUGAAUGUAUGGAUGGAUGAACAAAAAAGAUCUUAUCAAGAAUUAUAUACAAUUGCUUAAGGAAUUGCUAAAGGAAUGCAGGUAUCAGGUGGAUGACAGAUAAGGGAGAGUUGAUGCUAGGCUGUGCCUGCUGAACACUGAGGGAGUGGAACAUGACCUGUAUUGACAUUGCCUGAGGAGGAAGCAUUUGAAACAGGGAAAACAGCACUGUAUUCUUACCACACUCUUCCAGCUGAAGGAAGAAAGGAAGAUUUGUGCUGAGGGGAUGACAAGAAUGAGAGGAAGACUUCAAGGAGGCUCCAGACAAAGCUAGAAGCCAAUACAGAUUUUCUGGGUCUGAGCAAAGUUAGACUAUUUCCAGAAGAGUGGAAGAAGAGAGAAAUGAGCUAUGUAUCUCCACCCACAAGCAACCUCAGGCAUUUUUUUUCUUCAUGAACUCUAUAAGUUACUUUCUUUUAUCAUGCCAAUAUGUUGUCAAUCUGACAAUUUUCCCUGCUAGGAAAAGUUUAAGUCCGUGAGAGAGUGCUGAAAUAACUAAAUGAUGCUCUGAUGUUCAAAAUAAUGUCAAUAUGGAAACAGACAGCACACUACCUAUGGCUGGUUGAGCUGCUUGAAUUGACGAAGAUCCUGGUGCCCUCUGAGGAAAAAUAAAAUCUGUUUUGGAUUCCAGGCCACAUAAGCCAAGGAUAACAGAGAUGCAUGUUUCAAGAUGCUUCCAUGGCACUGUCUUAACCUCCUUAAGGACUUGCGAAGUACUAUUUGAUAGUGUAGAGUAAUGCAGAAUAAUAAAGAU